ensembl:misc_RNA Y_RNA Y RNA
GGCUGGCCCAGGUGCCCUGGUGUUUACAACUGAUUGAUCACAGCCAGUUACAGAUUUCUUUGUUCCUUUUCCACUCCCACUGCUUCACUUGACUAGCCUAAA